GAUUAAGAACGUAGCGAAAUGCGAUAAGUAGUGUGAAUUGCAGAAUUCAGUGAAUCAUCGAAUCUUUGAACGCACAUUGCGCCCCUUGGUAUUCCAUGGGGCAUGCCUGUUCGAGCGUCAUUUGUACCUUCAAGCUUUGCUUGGUGUUGGGUGUUUGUCCCUCGGGACUCGCCUUAAAGUCAUUGGCAGCCAGUGUUUUGGUUUUGAAGCGCAGCACAAGUCGCGAUUCAAGGCUAUCCGCCCGCUUCCACAAGCCUUUUUCACUUUUGACCUCGGAUCAGGUAGGGAUACCCGCUGAACUUAAGCAUAUCAAUAAGCGGAGGA
rnacentral:misc_RNA from 1 species